GAAAUGCGAUAAGUAAUGUGAAUUGCAGAAUUCAGUGAAUCAUCGAAUCUUUGAACGCACAUUGCGCCCGCCAGUAUUCUGGCGGGCAUGCCUGUCCGAGCGUCAUUUCAACCAUCAAGCCCCCGGGCUUGUGUUGGGGACCUGCGGCUGCCCGCAGGCCCUGAAAACUAGUGGCGGGCUCGCUGUCACACCGAGCGUAGUAGCAAUCACCUCGCUCAGGGCGUGCUGCGGGUUCCGGCCGUUAAACAGCCUUACAAAACCCAAGGUUGACCUCGGAUCAGGUAGGAAGACCCGCUGAACUUAAGC
rnacentral:misc_RNA from 1 species